ACCAUUCUGUUGAAUUUCAGGUUACCUCUCCUGCUAGUUGGGCAAACAUGGACUUAAACGAAUCAUCAAUACCAUCUUCUGUUAUUUCCUCCUGCAAGACAAAAAGAUCAGGAAAAUGACACCAGAAACCACACUAUUCCAGCCUCUUCAUGACUGUGAAGAAACCCUGAUGUUAUUAUUCUGCUACAUGUUUUUGGAUUUUUGCUGUUGACUCACUGGGAUGGUUCCUGCAGCCCCCAGCGGUGCUGCCUCUCCUCCAUGUGCCGUAAAACUUCAUGGUGUUCCAGUGACUGAGGCUGUCCUCACUCAGGACGUCUGGAGUCAAGUUGCAGAUUUCCAGUCGGGAAAACUGCCUCAAAAAAUCACUGAAGGACAUCC